CCCCACCCCCAUAAUCGAACACACACCGACAGAAGUCAUGAAGACUGCAGACUGUGAUGACUUGUGGAUUUAGCCUGACGUUGGCUGGUAAGAAAAUUAAGUAUUUUCAGUAAACGUUAUGUUUUCAUAUAGAUAUUGAUACUACUCUUCUUGUGUAUGGUCUUUUUCAAAUAUUAGCCACUGUAACACAGUUAGCUGAUUUUAUGCUGCAAUAUCUAGCUAGCCAUCUUAUUCUCCUCCUAAGUAGCUUACUUACUCAAUGAUGUCAUCUUGCUUCAUCUUAAAUUUGAUGGCAAGGACCAUAGCUAUGAUAAAUGUUUCAGAGAUGGUGUCUCAAUGAACUGUUUAUUAAGCUAAGUAUGCUAAGUUUGCUGUGUGAGUGUUGGUAUGAUAUCUCCUGUUAGUAAGACUAAAACUAGCAUUAUUUUUGUUAAACAGCAGAAAGAUGUAAGUGAACGGUUUAUGCUUGCUAAGCUGCCUUGCUCAUCAGCCAAUACAGGUUGUCUUGCAUGGAGACUGAAGACAGUCCAACUCAACACCUAAGAUGGCUUACAUGAGCUUCCAGGCCUCAUUUCCAGACUGAUAAGUAAUACUGUAAUGAAAAUGAGAGAGCAUACAUUGUUUCAUAUUGCUGUAUGUUUUACAAAGUGUUUUAAACGAUUAUGUGGUGCACAUGUU